GACGAACGCUGGCGGCGUGCUUAACACAUGCAAGUCGAACGAAGAGCGACGGAAGCUUGCUUCUAUCACUCUUAGUGGCGAACGGGUGAGUAACGCGUAAUCAACCUGCCCUUCAGAGGGGGACAACAGUUGGAAACGACUGCUAAUACCGCAUACGAUCUAACCUCGGCAUCGAGGAUAGAUGAAAGGUGGCCUCUACAUGUAAGCUAUCACUGAAGGAGGGGAUUGCGUCUGAUUAGCUAGUUGGAGGGGUAACGGCCCACCAAGGCGAUGAUCAGUAGCCGGUCUGAGAGGAUGAACGGCCACAUUGGGACUGAGACACGGCCCAGACUCCUACGGGAGGCAGCAGUGGGGAAUCUUCCGCAAUGGACGAAAGUCUGACGGAGCAACGCCGCGUGAGGGAUGACGGCCUUCGGGUUGUAAAGCUCUGUUAAUCGGGACGAAAGGCCUUCUUGCGAAUAGUGAGAAGGAUUGACGGUACCGGAAUAGAAAGCCACGGCUAACUACGUG
rnacentral:rRNA from 1 species